GACGAACGCUGGCGGCGUGCUUAACACAUGCAAGUCGAACGGAAAGGCCCUGCUUGCAGGGUACUCGAGUGGCGAACGGGUGAGUAACACGUGGGUGAUCUGCCCUGCACUUCGGGAUAAGCCUGGGAAACUGGGUCUAAUACCGGAUAGGAGCCAUUUUUAGUGUGAUGGUUGGAAAGUUUUUUUCGGUGUAGGAUGAGCUCGCGGCCUAUCAGCUUGUUGGUGGGGUAAUGGCCUACCAAGGCGGCGACGGGUAGCCGGCCUGAGAGGGUGGACGGCCACAUUGGGACUGAGAUACGGCCCAGACUCCGACGGGAGGCAGCAGUGGGGAAGAUUGCACAAUGGGCGCAAGCCUGAUGCAGCGACGCCGCGUGGGGGAUGACGGCCUUCGGGUUGUAAACUCCUUUCGCUAGGGACGAAGCUUUUUGUGACGGUACCUAGAUAAGAAGCACCGGCUAACUACGUG
rnacentral:rRNA from 1 species